AAAGUGCAAACACAAACCCUUUGGCACAAACAGCGCAGUAAUCCUACUUGUUGUGUUCUACGAAUUGUAAAAUACGUAGGUUCACGUUUUACAUAAUGCAGCUGAUUAAAAGAGCCAGAAAACAAUUCUGUGAACACGGACGUCUACCUCGGUGUGGGAGGAACUUGGCUGUAGCCUUCGGGGAUUCCUCAGCCACGAAGUUACGUCACACAGCAGUAUUUAAGCACCGGCACUGCUAUCAAUAGGUCAAACCUGUUGCCACUUGUCAAACAACAACCAGAGAGCUUUCACAGCGCCGAGGGGAAGAGAAACUGAACCAUUAAAUGUUUUCUUUGCUUUUGAGGAGCAUUGUUGUCACAGAAAUGGCUAGCCAUGAUUAUCCUGAAACUCUUGAGACCUGCGCACACGAGCUGCGUCAAAUUGGAGACCUACUAGACUGGAAAUACAAGCUGCUGGAGAUUCUCAUGAAGAACUACAAGACUGUCACAAAAAUCUAACAGGACGCGGCAGCAUUUCAAGAGGAAUUUUGGCUAAACUGAAUGGCAAUGAGAGCCAGAGCAGAAGAGUGUCAGGUAUUGACUCAUUAGAGGCAAAAUGGCUGCACUCAAGGUGGAUGUAAGCAUGUGGAAACCCCCGGAUGGACAUGUUUGACAUGAUGUGGACUCUCUGUGGACUGCUUUAUUAUUCCAGACUAGAGCUCUGCAGAGGAAGCCAGAUGUGUGGGAUGUUUUUGAUCCACCAAUUGGGACCCAUUGGUGACAAAAGUGGAACAUUUGAAUGGAAGUCAUGCUAGGAGGUGCUGAUGUCACAUGCUCUAUACAUACUAAUGUAUAUAUGUACGGACAUUUAAUAAUGUUAUUCUCUGUGAAUUAACUUAUGUCAACUGAAGAAUUAAGACUCUUUCUUUAUUGUGAUAACACUUUCUUUCUAUCUUUGGAAGUAUUUCAUGUGGUUAAUAAAUAAUUGCAAUUCGAUCAA